UGGGAGAUUUUUGCCCCAGCAAAGUUUCA
rnacentral:piRNA from 1 species